rnacentral:rRNA from 1 species
GGAAACUGAAGGAUACGUUACCGGCGAACGGGUGAGGAAUACAUGGAUAACGUACCCCGGACUCGGGCAUAGCGGCGGAACUUCGGUUCCUUUAGCGAAAGUGCCGGUAAUUCCCGAUGACCCCGUCGGAUCGCAUGGUCCGACGGGCAAAGCUCAGGCGGUCCGGGCGCGGUUCAUGCCCUAUCAGCUUGUUGGUGAGGUAACGGCUUACCAAGGCUACGACGGGUAUCGGGCGUGAGAGCGUGGCCCGACACAUCGGGACUGAGACACGGCCCGGACACCUACGGGUGGCUGCAGCAACGAAUAUUCCGCAAUGGGCGAAAGCCUGACGGAGCGACGCCGCGUGCAGGAAGAAGUCCUUCGGGAUGUAAACUGCUGUCAGGGGCGAGGAACACUGACCAGCCCCAGAGGAAGCACUGGCUAACUCCGUGCCAGCAGCCGCGGUAAUACGGAGAGUGCAAGCGUUGUUCGAAAUUACUGGGCUUAAAGGGCGUGUACGCGGAGUGCAAAGUGUCUGGUGAAAG